GGGGAUGUAGCUCAGUUGGCUAGAGCGCUUGCAUGGCAUGCAAGAGGCCAGGGGUUCGAGUCCCCUUAUCUCCA
rnacentral:tRNA from 1 species